rnacentral:lncRNA from 1 species
AUAAUUAAGGAUGAAAAUCUAUAGAAAUCAGUUCUCAUCGUACCUCCUCCUCGAGGUGUCGUUAACUUCCUCAGUGGCUCUCUUCUGAUCAACUUGUAGGGACAAGAAUAGAAUCCAACAAUCUCUCUACUUGAAAAAAGGAAUGCCUUGGCAUUAUUUGGAACUUCAUGCGUAAAAUAUUCUAAAACUGAAAAAAGAUGGACAGAUGACGGAAAACUAACUUUUAUUUCCUUUUUAUACAAUUUUUUAUGAGCACUGUGUAUAGACUUCCUUGGAAAAUUUGGAAUCUAGUUGAUAUCAUAAAUUUUUUCAGUAGAUUCGUUGCUGAUAAUUAUUUAUGACAUUAAUCUCUAGUGUGGUUUGGUAAGGACUUCCUUUGGUUGAUUAUGGCAGAACUCUAUUAAAGAUUUAUAUAUCUUCCCCAUUUAAGAUAUAAUUUUGAGAAUGAGAACUAUUGUUAUAAUGCAUCUUACUGAAAAUCUGAAUAUCUUCAUUAUGAAAAGACUUUUCUAACACCUUUGAAUGAUAAUGUAGUAAGUUUGUUGAGUAUCUGAAGGUACUUCCAAUCCAACUCUGUACUUCCGUCCGAGUUGAUUCUAAUUGAUUACAUCCGACUUUGUCAACAGGACUCUUAUAGAACUCAUCCAUUAAAACAUUAUCUCUUAUCAACUGCUGAGUAUCCAUAUCACUCCCAUUCCUCUCGCUUGAACUAAGUGUUGAAUCUUUAUUCACAUGAUGUUUUUCUUCAUCGCUAGUAGAAUAUAUAUAACUGUCUUCUUUAAAUGAUCUACUAUCAAAAAAAUAC